rnacentral:rRNA from 1 species
UACGGGGGGGGGCAAGCGUUGUUCGGAAUUACUGGGCGUAAAGGGCUCGUAGGCGGCCAACUAAGUCGGAUGUGAAAUCCCCAGGCUCAACCUGGGAACUGCAUCCGAUACUGGAUGGCUUGAAUUCGGGAGAGGGAUGCAGAAUUCCAGGUGUAGCGGUGAAAUGCGUAGAUAUCUGGAGGAAUACCGGUGGCGAAGGCGGCAUCCUGGGCCGACACUGACGCUCAUGCACGAAAGCGUGGGGAGCAAACAGG